GCAUAUGUGUAUAUGUAUAUCAUAACGUUGAGAUAAUGAUAUUAUGUUACUAUUCCAGUCAUAAUGCUAUUACCGUUAAAAUAUCUUUAUAUAUAUAUAUAUGUAUGUAUGUAUAUAUCAUGUAGUGAUCGAUUGAUGAACGAUGUAAUCAAAACCUAGUAUAUUAAGGUAAUCAAAUAUAAUUAAUCGAUCACUCAUCUAAGUAUGUAUAAGAAACACAUCGC
rnacentral:lncRNA from 1 species